UGAAGGCGAUGUCUAAAGCCUGCUCCAAGGUAUAUAUCCUGGUGUCUUUGGCUUCUAUCUCAACCUUCAACUGUCCUAUCUGUAUCUCUCUCUGCUCCAACCUCCCUCGUAACUCUGCUAACUCCAUCUGUGUUCGGUGAGCAGCGUCCUUGUACUGCUGUUCCGAAAUCUGGAGAGUACGAUUCCGUGCCUCCGCUUACUCAGCUCUAACCUUUAAGUCGUCGUUCCUAACUAUCAAAUCUCUUAUCAUCUCACUGUCUGUGUACUCCUCGCUAGAGCUGGGCUCAAGGAAUUACUAUCUUGACUUUCGUCAUCCAUCCCAUGACCACAAUAAAUGAGACAACAUUAGUACUGAAAUAAAAUAUGUUCAUCUAUAAAAUGAAGGAAUAUUUUAUUUAGUACCACUUGAUGAAUCCUCUCGACUCAUCAUCUAUCUAACAUAUCCUAUAAUUCUUCACCAGAGUACUUCGUCUCAUGGUUUACUGAAUAUCUACCUUAACUUUCGUUCUCCAUUCUACUAAGGUUAUAACCUAGGUUUCGCAUUCCUAACGUUUAUAACCUACAGCUUUGAUACCGACCUGUGGCGACCCCAAAUCCGGAUACUUGAAACCCGAACUCGGUUCUCAACGAUACCAUUUCUUUAAGCUGAAUAAUACUAAAUAAUAAUACAUUCGAACUUAAUUUACAUACAUCAAAGUUUACUUCCCCAGGUACGUGACCUUCAAAAUACAUUCCUUACAAUACCUGACAAUAGAUUCCAUUGUCUUACUAACUAUAACCAUUAACUCAUAAUACACACUUAUUCGAUCAGCUUUCCUUUUCCUUUGUUCGUGCGUGAGCCUUCAUGUUGCUCAUACAUAACUGAAAACAUUUAAUUUAAGCAAGGAUGAACAUUUGAGUGCCCAACAAGUAAUAGCAAUUAUAUAUAUAAGCUGAAAGAAUAUAAGUAUUCUCUUUACAUAACACUUCUACAACGAAUCGAAAGUUGUGAAAUAAUCUGUACUGAUAAAAAAUUCACAUAACAACUCUCUUCCAAAUUCUUUAAAUUUGGCUUUGGCUCUACCCAUGAAUAGGGUUUAAGAAAUAUACUAUGAACAUUGUUUUUCAUUUUCGAAAAGGUUUAGCAGAAAUUCAUCCGCAAACCGCUUAGCUUACGGGGCACGGAGGGUGAUCAGCCCCGUUGUACCCUGUAUUGAUCAAUACUACAUAACUUGAACGAAAUUCAUC
rnacentral:lncRNA from 1 species